AUGAUCUUGGAGGUCUUUUCCAACCCUAAUGAUUCUAUGAUUAGUACUGCCCGAGGCUACCGACGACGGGCAUCCAUCCUUUCCAGAGCCCUCGGAAGCUGCUGCGGGGGGCAGGCGGGGGGACAGGCACACCUCCCCUCACCUCACCGCCCGGUACCGGCGGCAGGUGCCCGCGGAGCCCCGAGGGCCUUGGGAAGGGCUAACGUAGCACGGCUUUUAGAAGGAAGGGAGGAAAAACCCGGAAUAGUUGGCAUUCCCUUCGCUUCCGCCUCGCAGCGCCCGCCGCCCCAGCUGCCGGGACUCGCCCUCACGAGCCGGGGCCGCGGCAGCCCCGCGUGUGCCCGAGCAGCCCCGGCGGCACCCCGAGGCCGGCGCGGCGCGGUAGGGCCGGGCGCUGCCCUCAGGCCCGGGCGCGCCCCCCGUCCCCUCUCCCCCCCACACGCGCUGAGAGGAACGGGGGCGCGCCCGCCGCUCCCUCUCCUUUGUGUGAGAGCGCGCGGGCGGGCCCGGCACACAGCGCGGAGGAGGGCGCUGAGCGGCGGGAGAGGAGGCAGCGAGCGGGGGCCGGAAGGUGGAGUGAGGAGCCGGGAGCGCGGGGCGGCGGCGGCGGCCGGCGAUGGCGUGGUGCGGGCGGCCGCUGGGCGGCCAGCGGCGCUGAGGGGAAGGAGCCGGCGGGACCCCCGCCCCCAGGUAGGCUGGCUCGGAAAGUUUGGGGCGAGGUGCCGGGGCGGGGGGAGGCCGCGGCUCGGGGCCGAAACUCGCCGCUCCUUCCCUCCCUGCCUCCCUUCCGGGCUGCCCGCGGGCACCGGGGCCCCUCCGCCUCGCCUCGGCCCGGCCCGGGCCCGGCCGGGCGGCAGGAAGGGCCGGGCGGACAAGGCCCGGCCGUUGGCGGCCGUUGGCGGCCGUGAGGGCAGCCCGGCGCCGCCGCGUCCCCCCCCGGCGGGCAGCGGGGCGCACACAAUGGGCUCCGGCCCUCGGCGGCCGCCGGGGGGGCUCCCGCCGCCCUCCCCGCCCCGCGGAGCGGCAAGUUUGGGAUUCGUGUCACACGCGCUGCCAGGUCCCGAGUUAAUU
rnacentral:lncRNA from 1 species